rnacentral:rRNA from 1 species
AUGAAGGCAGCAUUAAAAACUAUCCUUCCACAAACUCUGCAUAAGCUGUGUCGGUGGCAUAUCAUGAAGAAGUACAAGGACCACCUCGCCUUGCUGUAUAAGGCGCACGAGAAGCUCAAGGACGAACUCAAUGCAGUGCUGAACCACGCACUAAUGCCGUCAGAAUUUGAACGGGCAUGGAAGAACCUCAUUCAGAGGUACAACUUGCAAGACGACGAAGUGAUGAAUUCACUGUGGGAUGACAGGCACGAGUGGAUCUCAGCUUACUACAAGGAAAUUUUUUGUGCUCGGAUGACUUCCACACAGAGAAGCGAGAGCAUGAACCUCAUACUGAAGAAAAAUUUUGUCAGGGAGAAGCAUGAUCUCCAUCUGUUUGCUCAGCAGGUGGACAAGUGCAUUCAGACCAGGAAGGCCGUCGAGCACGCAGAGACAGUAGCAAAUGAGUCAGAGGUAAAAACAACAACAAAGUUUGGCUUCGAAGUUCAGCUAUCAAAAGUGUAUACAAGGGCAGUGUUUGCAGAUUUCAAAGAAACACUCUACCGUAGCACUGCAUUCAGAGCAGAACGGUGCCCUGAGAACCCGACAAAGUAUCUCGUACACCACUACAACAGAUCGGAUGCAUUUGACUGGGCAAGGCAUAAUUUCCAAGUGGUUGCCGAUGAAGAGAAAGGUGUCUACGAAUGUGAGUGCAAACUCUGGACACACACAGGCCUCUUGUGCGUCCAUGUCUUAUGCAUGCUUUCUCAUUUGAGAGUACUCAACAUUCCUGAGGUGUACAUCAUGAAGAGAUACAGCCGUAACGCAAGAUCAGAUGCAACGUUUGACAGAAGAGACUACGAACAAACAGCACCAGAUGGAACCUCGCUUUUUUGCCGUAGAAAAUUGCUGACAGAAACAGCAAUGGACCUUGCAAACAGAGCAACAAGGUUAGACGCUGGGUGCCACAGAGCGUUGUCUGGUAUGAGGGCACUGAUAGAGGAAGUUGACGUGCUCAACGAAGAAGAACAAGAAGAAGCAGCAAAACUAAAGCAAGCAGAGAAAUACCAACAUGAUAAUAAAGCCGAGCAAGAAGAAAAAACUGAACACAUUGGAACUGGUGCUAUCAAAAAAGAAACAAUUCUUCCACCUCUUGUUUCAAACACAAGAGGAAGAAAGAAAGGGGGAGACGCAAACCAGAAAAAGGUGGCAUAA